UACGUAGGGUGCGAGCGUUGUCCGGAAUUAUUGGGCGUAAAGAGCUUGUAGGCGGUCUGUCGCGUCUGCUGUGAAAAUCCGGGGCUCAACCCCGGACUUGCAGUGGGUACGGGCAGACUAGAGUGUGGUAGGGGAGACUGGAAUUCCUGGUGUAGCGGUGAAAUGCGCAGAUAUCAGGAGGAACACCCGAUGGCGAAGGCAGGUCUCU
rnacentral:rRNA from 1 species